CUUCACCGAGCCGAGCCACAGCGGGCGGUCCGCCGGGCGGUCGGGUCCGUGGACGGCCCGGAGCGCCUGCGCUUC
rnacentral:antisense_RNA from 1 species